CGGGGGUGAGGAAGACAGGUUGAGAAAUCGGCGGAGUAUCCUAGCCGAGCUAGUAAGACCGUAAGAACUG